GUAUACAAUGAGACCAUUUACCAUUGAUACAAGGUGGUUACAAUUCCUUACAACUAUUUGAUGUGAAAUUUGAUAAUUUGGAUAUGGUACAAAGUUCGAGAAAUUUUCUUUUGAAGUUUGAUCUUGGUCAAUGCAAUAAUUGUAGCCACCCAAUUGCACAUCCAAUAGUCAAGAUUAAUGUGACCACCUUGUAUCAAAGGCAACUGGUCUCAUUCUAUACUCUCUUUUUACCUUUUAUGCAAUGCGGUCACAUUAAUCUCGACCAUUGGAUGUAAAGUUGGGUGGCUGCAAUCAUUCUUUUGACCAAGCUCUCAAACUUCAAAAGAAAUUUUCUCAAACUUUAUGACACAUCCAAGUUAUCAAAAUUCACAUCAAAUAGUUGUAAGGAAUUGUAAUACCUUGUAUAAAAGGUAAAUGGUCUCAUUCUACAC
rnacentral:pre_miRNA from 1 species